rnacentral:rRNA from 1 species
GACGAACGCUGGCGGCGUGCUUAACACAUGCAAGUCGAACGGAGAGGCCCUGCUUGCAGGGUACUCGAGUGGCGAACGGGUGAGUAACACGUGGGUGAUCUGCCCUGCACUUCGGGAUAAGCCUGGGAAACUGGGUCUAAUACCGGAUAGGAGCCAUUUUUAGUGUGAUGGUUGGAAAGUUUUUUCGGUGUAGGAUGAGCUCGCGGCCUAUCAGCUUGUUGGUGGGGUAAUGGCCUACCAAGGCGGCGACGGGUAGCCGGCCUGAGAGGGUGGACGCCCAACUGAGGACUAUGGUAGGGCCCAGCCCCUACUAGGGGGCAGCGGGGGGAAAAAUGAUGAAGUGGGGCCAAGCGUAUGCAAGAGGCCCUCGGGGGGGAAAGUAGGCUCAGGGGGGGGAAAGGGCUUUCAGUUAGGACAAAGGUUUUUUGACGGUACCCGAAGAAAAAGCACCGGCUAACUCAGUG